AGAGUUUGAUCCUGGCUCAGGACGAACGCUGGCGGCGUGCUUAACACAUGCAAGUCGAACGGAAAGGCCCCUUCGGGGGUGCUCGAGUGGCGAACGGGUGAGUAACACGUGGGUGAUCUGCCCUGCACUUCGGGAUAAGCUUGGGAAACUGGGUCUAAUACCGGAUAGGACUACGGGAUGCAUGUCUUGUGGUGGAAAGCUUUUGCGGUGUGGGAUGGGCCCGCGGCCUAUCAGCUUGUUGGUGGGGUGAUGGCCUACCAAGGCGACGACGGGUAGCCGGCCUGAGAGGGUGUCCGGCCACACUGGGACUGAGAUACGGCCCAGACUCCUACGGGAGGCAGCAGUGGGGAAUAUUGCACAAUGGGCGCAAGCCUGAUGCAGCGACGCCGCGUGGGGGAUGACGGCCUUCGGGUUGUAAACCUCUUUCAGCAGGGACGAAGCGCAAGUGACGGUACCUGUAGAAGAAGCACCGGCCAACUACGUGCCAGCA
rnacentral:rRNA from 1 species